CGCAGUCGGUCGAUCGUCCAGGGAAAUCGGGUAUCAACCUCGCCGAGGUUCAGGAUAUAUCGUGGUCCCGCUGGUUGCGAUUGACGAGAAAUGUCGACGAAAGUUUGUGAUUCGAAAAAGGAAUGCUCGUCGACGAGUUUUUCGACGAGGGUUCGCCGAACUAUCCCUCCACGGUUUCUACACGAUUUCUCGGAAUCCGUGAAAUUGUCGAAAUCUUCGUGGCUUUGAUCCCUUUCACGUAAGAUCUAGAAAACAGCUGGCACGAGCGAAGGUCACCGGCCAUGGAAUAUAAUUAGUCCGACACUUAUGGAACGUCAGGCCAGCUAUGGUUCGCAGUGGCCGCAACGAGGUAGACGAGGUAGUUGCCUAGGCACUUGGAGAUCGGCCUUUGUGCGACACGUGUGCCCAUGGACAACGUUAUUUCCUUCUUAAAUACGGAUUCUUGGUCUGAAUCAUCUGUAUGCUACACCGCCAUAGAAGGAACGAUCGGGAAUUGGCAUCAGCCAUGAUCGAUAUCGGGGAAAAAAUAUUUCAAGAGUAAUCGGUUAUUUUUCAGAAGCCAGAAAAGUUCUUCCUGAUGAACUUGCCGUUAUGGUAUUAACGCUAUCGGGGAUCGAUCGUUCAAGGAAGCCUUGGACGAAUCUCUGGAUUUUCCAAAUAGGAGGCAACCGAUGAGGAGACUACGUGGUAAUUGCGACAGUUGUAAUUACCAGUGUAUUAACCGUUGCAAAUGUCGAACGAGCCAACCUCGAGCCCGCAAGGUUUCCCCCGUAAAUAGGGGAAGAAGAUUGUCCAAUUAACUGUCUCGUUUAAUUGAAUCUUAUUUCCUUUUCACUUGGUCCAGUUUCAUUGGGGCUUCUGCGCUUUAUCGCGUGAGUCGAAUGUAAUGCACGUCGGAAGCUUGGCCGAAGAACAACCCACGACAAAAGAGGGAUCGAGUUGAACGUCGCGGGAUAUUUUUGGCCAUACUCCCGCCCACUCCAGCCUUCGACAGCUCGCAAAUUGUCGUCGUCGAGUGGCGCGUGAAUAUCGUGGAAACGGACUGUUCUACCGUUUAAUGCUCGUUUAGACGCGCAGGGUAUUCUUUCAAAUUUUUUUCAGACAAUUCGUUUUGCUGUCGGUGGAACGAGGAAGAGGAGCAAGGGAUGAAGAUGGAGGGGGGAGAAAGAGAGAGAGCUCGAGGAGAGAAAGGAGGAUGGCAAAGUAGGAAGGAGCAAUUCCUCGGGACGAGACGAGACGAGACGAGACGGAGGUGAAGGUAUUCUUUUUAAGGCGGAACACUUUACUGCUGCUCGUUCCACGCUGGUAAUGGAGAAUCCCCCAGCCGCCCCAACGAAUUAAUUCGGGGCUAACGCCGAGACACUCCCCGAUAUCGAGUCACUUCGUUCCAGUAUUCUCACGCCGAGGAAGAAUCAAUGGGAUUCCUCUUUCCUCCACACGACGCCCAAAGCACGUGCCAUUCGCCGCAGAAUCCACUUCUCUCUGAAAUUCUUGCCUCGUCGAGCGUCUUCUUUCCUCCAAUGAAAAUUCAGAAGAUUCCAUGGGAAAAUCAAAAAUCAAAAUCCAAGAGAUGGCUCGAGUACAGGGUGCCUUCCGAAGCAUCUGUGGAAGCGCGCGCAAAAGAGAUGAGCGUGAUCGGGGCGCGAGGAGAAGAGAGGUUGUACAGAGCAACAGAGAAGGGGAGAAGCGAGAAAGAGAGGGAAAUUCAAAGAUGGCGCCACGCGUGUGCCUGACAGAGACGAGGAACGGGAGCUGAAGCGAGGCAACCGCCUUCGCUUCUUUCCCCUCUCGCGUUUGGCGAAGAGUGACCGGCCCGAAAAGUCCGAAUCCGAUCGUAGAAUGGCUCAGUAGUGCGCGAGACACAUUUCGUGACGCGUGCUCGUCGUUGGUAUCGAUAUCUUUCGAUGAUUCACGAGCAUUGCGACGAGAGUACGCGGCGACCAAUCCCCGGUUCCGUUACAUCAGCAUCCGACUACGUGGGUCCUCGACGAUUGGCUCUCUCUGUGCUGCGUUCGAGUUCUCUCUCUCUUGCACGCGUUACAGCCAGAAUAGGAGAAAAAAAGAUACUCGCAGCUUGUGUUUCCUCGCGGUGCGGCUUAUUCUCGAACUAGAUACAUACUACGCGCAUCGUGCUAUUUGCCGAGGAGCGUGUGCAUUUUCGUUUAACCAGAUUUUCGGUGGAAACGUGGAGAAAAUACGCGUAGAGAGAUUUUCGACGACGAGGAGAAACGCGAGGAAGACACGAGCCAGCAGCCGAGCGACAGACAGAGUGAGAGGAAGGGAAGCUAGAGGGAGAGCAGCAGAGUACGGGGUAUUUUGGACGCAGAUCGAUCGGUCGCUCUCCGGUUCGCGCCAUGUGACCGGUCAAAGACCAGUCUGCAUGGGAUAGGAGGUUAGAAACUUAUUCGGCAUCUUCCGAGUGUAUUGUCGCGUGGCGGUCUGUUUGUUCGUUGAUCAACCGAGAAAAUGAGAUCCGUCGAGUGAUGUAGUAGUGUCAGUAGCGCGUGAGCCAGUGAACGAGGUAGUCGUUUUUUUUCGUAAAGCGUUUAUCGGACAUUCGCGGUGGCGGGCUUCGAGGAGCGUGAUCGUGAGGGAAAAGAGAACCGAUUUUACCGCGAAAGAAUGUCGUUGUCUCGGGUCAGAUAUAAAAAUAAAAAGAAGCAGACUUAUGUCUCAAGGCUAUCGGACCACAUAUUGUCUCAGACCAGGGGCGUAAAAUCACGCGGUUGUCUCCCUGCACGCCGUUUAUUUCAUUUCACCGAUAUUUUCGUAUAAUCGCGCACAUUCAUUAUCAUUAUCUCGUUAGUACAUGGUUUCAUUAUCUGACACGUAUAUAUGUGUUACUAAAUUCUUUCGAAAAGAAUGUUUCAUUAGCAUUUAUUUUUUUUCUUGGUUAAGGAUAAUAACGUUCUUUCUCGGUCCACUGUUUCGUUGUCGUUUACAUAUUCUUUACAUAUUCUUCUUAUUAAUUAUCUCGUUGAAAAAUUAACGACGAUUUUAAAAUUUCUUUUCUUUGUUUCUAAUGUUUUUUCGUGAUAUACUUUGUUUUCGGAAAUAGAAGAAUUCCGCGGCAUGGAACAAAGGAAAAGUCGGCAGUAUGUGAAUUUUUAUGAGGUUCGUUCCGAAAAAGAAAGUAAGAAUAUAAACAAUCGUAUUAUUGCAUGCCGUGCAUUUGAUCAUAUAUGAUCUUCAAAAAUAAUUUCUUUUCAAAUUUAUAAAUAAGUUCUUCUCUUGUUAAAUUACAAAUUAGAAAACACGUGGCCUGACACGUGUUUCUGGAACUUUACGAAAGAAUUCUGUGACAUCUUGAAUCGUUGUUACUUUGUUUAGAAUACACAUUUUUAUUUUCAUCAACGCUACAUUAUCAAUUCGAUCAAAUAAUUCGAUCGGAAAGUUUCACAAUAUCGAUGGAAAAUUAUUUAAUGAUUUAAUGUGGAGAAUUGUUAUAUAUUAUUUUUUAUAUGUAAAAGCGAUUGUACGAGAUUAAAAUAUCAAGGCAAUUUUAGAAGCUAUAUAUACGUAUAUUGCGUGGAUUAAUAGAUAACGCGUGCUUAUCUAGGAAAGUAGUAUUUGACUACCAGAACCUUGUAGUCAGUUUCAGAUUAACCUCUUUAAAGCAGGAUUUGUUAAGGAGUUUAGGAGAAAAUAUAUAAUUAUUUUUUAUUUUUCUAAGAAAAAUAACGCAUGUAUGUACGUGGGUUACUACAACUAUUGAACUAUUGAACUUUGUAAGAUAAUUUUAUACGGUUAGAAAUAUUUAUUUUCGAUAAUGUUAAUCUUUUAAAAUCAAUUUUAAAAAAGACAUACGUAAAGUCUUUUUCAACAAAUUAAUAUAAAACAAGAUGUGAUAAUAUUUAAACAUUUAUACAAUAUUUAGAUAACGUUGUUAAAAUCAAGGAGAAAAUUGAAAGAAAAUCUAGCGAAGUAGAUAAGUAGGUCGCGUUCGCGUCUGACUACUGAUUUCUGAAUUUACUGCUACUACGACAAAUUGAUGUCAAUGAGAUCGAUAUUAAUUAAGUCACGGGCCGUUGAUCGCUGGAAACCCCAUAAAGGAUAAUCUCUUUACCACCGGUAUUUCCCGGAAAUGCCCAAGUAACAUUAUUCUUCAUAUUUAGAAGAAAAUGAUAUACUUUUUAAUUUUUUAGCUCUUCAUCGUCAUAUUUGGAUAUAAUUUCACAUGUUCGUGCGAGGUGAACGUUUCGUAAAAUUAUUUAUAUAUUCUCGAAAACAUUAGUUAUUAGUUUGUUUUUUCUCACACACACACACAAAAAAAAAGAAGUCAAGCUCAUUAUUUGUAUAAAAGUGGAAUGUUUUAAAAGAUAAUUCGUCGAGGUUUUAAAAUUGAUCAAGACCACGUUUUCUAAUAUCUAUCGAGAAUUAAAAGCGUUGUUCGCAGAAUGUACGAUCACAAUCCAUGAUUUCCUGCGGGCAUCGAAAAGAAACUGCUCUGUCUGGACCAAGGUUAGAAGAUUGCGUUUGUUGUAUAAUAGCCAUACGAGUUUGAUUCAGGGCCGUAAAAGUCGGGUAUUCGCGAGGGGCGACAUGAUCUAUUUCCGUCCACAACUUGGAAGCGGGAAACGUGGAAGCAUUAAGGGUUCUAAGAAUGAUAUGCCUCGUUGGAAUCACGAGUAACGCUUGAUACUCGUUUGAAUCAUUGCACCAAACAAACAUUAGUGCCACUUCAUUUUACGAUCGAAUUAUUUAUGUUACUUAUAUUUUAUAAUAUAUAAUUCAUAUCGUUUUCUAGAAAAAUUUAUAAAUAUGGCAAUGAUUCAAUUCGAGUCACUUUCUUCAUUUCUUUUAAUACAACAAUAUCGAUCAUAUAUAAAAUCGAUCCUCUUUUCUUUUGAUUUAUAAUUAUAUCUCUUGGCAUCUCCCUCGACUUAUGUUUCUAUAUAGAUGAAAUAGGGGAAUUCUUUUUUCUCGUGAAUGAUAAAUUGAAAUAAGAAAAGAAUGUUUUCGUUUCUUCUGUCGAACCGGCUUAUCGAUGUAGGAAAACCGUUGGUAUUUACCGAGUAACCGAUAAUUCAGUUACAUCUCACUUGGUUCGUUGUGUUCUGGGCGUGUGAGUCACUGGUGUGACUCAAGGGACGGAAAUCUUAUUUGUCGAAAAAGUAACAGGCCUUUUUCAGCAUGGUUUCGCUAUCUUUCUUUGACCGUUGUAAUAUCCCACCAUAAGAGAGACACAUAAACUCGCUCACAAAAUAUGAGAUCGGUCGCGAGCUAACUCGGCACAUUUUAUGUAAUCGGAGGAUAAACAUAAAUUUUUCCAGCGAUUAGAUAAAAUUACGCGAUAAAAUGGAUACUAUUCAGAAUGGAAAAAGAUGACCAAUUACUUCUUUCUAUCAAUACCAUUUAUUCAUUCGAGGGGAAAAAGAAGAUGAUAACGAAGAAAAAGGGAAACGA